rnacentral:rRNA from 2 species
GACGAGCUGUGCAAACGUUAUUCGGAAUUACUGGGCUUAAAGAGUUCGUAGGCGGCGCGUUAGGUGGGGUGUGAAAUCCCUCGGCUCAACCGAGGAAUGGCGCUCCAAACCGGCGUGCUUGAGGAAGGUAGAGGUGAGCGGAACUGAUGGUGGAGCGGUGAAAUGCGUUGAUAUCAUCAGGAACACCGGAGGCGAAGGCGGCUCACUGGGCCUUUUCUGACGCUGAGGAACGAAAGCCAGGGUAGCGAACGGG